UACGGAGGGGGCUAGCGUUGUUCGGAAUUACUGGGCGUAAAGCGCGCGUAGGCGGCUUUGUAAGUUAGAGGUGAAAGCCCGGGGCUCAACUCCGGAAUUGCCUUUAAGACUGCAUCGCUAGAAUUGUGGAGAGGUAAGUGGAAUUCCGAGUGUAGAGGUGAAAUUCGUAGAGAUCCGGAGGAACGCCAGAGACGAAGGUGGCUACCUGGCCCUGACCUGACACUGAGGCGCGAAAGCGUGGGGAGCGAACCGG
rnacentral:rRNA from 1 species